rnacentral:rRNA from 1 species
GACGAACGCUGGCGGCGUGCCUAAUACAUGCAAGUAGAACGCUGAAGGAGGAGCUUGCUUCUCUGGAUGAGUUGCGAACGGGUGAGUAACGCGUAGGUAACCUGCCUGGUAGCGGGGGAUAACUAUUGGAAACGGUAGCUAAUACCGCAUAAUAGUAGAUGUUGCAUGACAUUUGCUUAAAAGGUGCAAUUGCAUCACUACCAGAUGGACCUGCGUUGUAUUAGCUAGUUGGUGGGGUAACGGCUCACCAAGGCGACGAUACAUAGCCGACCUGAGAGGGGGAUCGGCCACACUGGGACUGAGACACGGCCCAGACUCCUACGGGAGGCAGCAGUAGGGAAUCUUCGGCAAUGGACGGAAGUCUGACCGAGCAACGCCGCGUGAGUGAAGAAGGUUUUCGGAUCGUAAAGCUCUGUUGUAAGAGAAGAACGAGUGUGAGGGUGGAAAGUUCACACUGUGACGGUAUCUUACCAGAAAGGGACGGCUAACUACGUG